rnacentral:rRNA from 1 species
AUGUUUUGGGCAUGUGCCAAGUCAUCGGAUAGAAGCCAGUUCAAUUACAAUAGGGCUAAGCUUGCACAAAAGACAGUAGAGGGUGCGAAAGACAUGAUGAAAACUACACCAGAGUAUUGGUGUAGGGCCUACUUUAGGAUUGGGUCUUUUUGUGACUCAGUUGAGAACAACAUGUGUGAGUCAUUUAAUAAUGCCAUCAUGAGAUCUAGGUUCUAUCCGGUAUUAACUGCAAUGGAAAUCAUUAGAAAGAAGGUCACUGUGAGGAUCCAACAAAACAGAGCAAAGUCUGAGAAGUGGUAUGGAACCAUUUGUCCAAAUAUUUUCAAGAAGUUGAAGGUCAACAUUGAAAGAUCUGCUAGGUGUCAAGUGUUGUGGAAUGGAAAGGAUGGGUUUGAAGUACCGGAAGGUGAGCAUAGGAGAUACACAGUCAAUCUAGAAAACUGGACAUGUUCAUGUAGAUAUUGGCAACUUUCCGGAUUACCUUGUUGUCAUGCGGUUAGUGCAAUCUACACCUGCUCUAGAGAUUUGGAUCUCUACAUUUCACCUUGCUACUCUAUUGCUGAGUACAACAGAAUUUAUGAUCAUGUUCUUCAGCCUAUCAAUGGACCAGAAGAUUGGCCAAUUUCUGAAAAACCUAGACCUCUUCCACCUAAGAAAAGAACACAGACUGGCAGGCCCCAGACAAAGAGAAGGCAGGAGGAAGGAGAGAAACCUAGGAACCCAUCAAAAAUGUCAAGAGCAGGCACUCAGGUGACAUGUUCAAGUUGUGGAACUCAGGGUCACAACAAAAGAAAAUGUACGAAUAACAAUACUGCUGGUAAUAAAGAGCAUGCCAACUUCACAAGAGCAGCUACAAGGAGAAAGGCCAAGCAAGCAAGAACAGAGCAAGCUCAUGUUCCAUCAGCACAACAAAGUUCGGCUCCUGGCCCAUCAACACAAGAAGUUCCUCCAGCAUCUAAGCCACCAAAGAGGAAGAAGAAGGCCUCUGGUGCGCAAAAUAGUCCUUCCACUGCACCUUUCUAUGAGAGAGCAAAGAACAGAAGGAAAUCACUGAUACAAUCAUCUCAACCAACAUCUGGAACAUCUUCUUAUCAACCAGCACCUAGGGCGACAUCUCAGCCAAUGCCAAACCAAUCAAGAUUCUAG